GAGUUUGAUCUUGGCUCAGAUUGAACGCUGGCGGCAUGCCUUACACAUGCAAGUCGAACGGCAGCACGGGAGCUUGCUCCUGGUGGCGAGUGGCGAACGGGUGAGUAAUGCAUCGGAACGUAUCCUGGAGUGGGGGAUAACGUAGCGAAAGUUACGCUAAUACCGCAUAUUCUGUGAGCAGGAAAGCGGGGGACCUUCGGGCCUCGCGCUCUUGGAGCGGCCGAUGUCGGAUUAGCUAGUUGUGAGGUAAAGGCUCACCAAGGCGACGAUCCGUAGCAGGUCUGAGAGGAUGAUCUGCCACACUGGAACUGAGACACGGUCCAGACUCCUACGGGAGGCAGCAGUGGGAUUUUGGACAAUGGGGGCAACCCUGAUCCAGCCAUGCCGCGUGAGUGAAGAAGG
rnacentral:rRNA from 1 species